rnacentral:rRNA from 1 species
CAGCUCUCCGAGUGGUGUGGAUGUUUAUUGGGCCUAAAGCAUCCGUAGCUGGCUGGGCAAGUCCCCUGUUAAAUCCACCGAAUUAAUCGUUGGAGUGCGGAGGAUACUGCUCGGCUAGGGGACGGGAGAGGCCGACGGUAUUUUCGGGGUAGGGGUGAAAUCCUAUAAUCCCGGGAAGACCACCAGUGGCGAAGGCUGUCGGCUAGAACGCGCCCGACGGUGAGGGAUGAAAGCUGGGGGAGCGAACCGGAUUAGAUACCCGAGUAGUCC